rnacentral:rRNA from 1 species
CUCCUACGGGGCGCAGCAGUGAGGAAUAUUGGUCAAUGGGCGGAAGCCUGAACCAGCCAAGUCGCGUGAGGGAUUAAGGCCCUAUGGGUCGUAAACCUCUUUUGUCAGGGAGCAAGGCCUCUCACGUGUGGGAGGUUGGAGAGUACCUGAAGAAAAAGCAUCGGCUAACUCCGUACCAGCAGCCGCGGUAAUACGGAGGAUGCGAGCGUUAUCCGGAUUUAUUGGGUUUAAAGGGAGCGUAGGCGGAGCCUUAAGUCAGCGGUAAAAUUGCGGUGCUCAAGGAC